rnacentral:rRNA from 1 species
UACGUAGGGUGCAGGCGUUAAUCGGAAUUACUGGGCGUAAAGCGUGCGUAGACGGUUAUUUAAGUCGGGUGUGAAAGCCCCGGGCUCAACCUGGGAAUUGCAUUCGAGACUGAAUAGCUAGGGUACGGUAGAGGGAAGCGGAAUUUCCGGUGUAGCGGUGAAAUGCGUAGAUAUCGGAAGGAACAUCAGUGGCGAAAGCGGCUUCCUGGACCAGUACCGACGUUCAGGCACGAAAGCGUGGGGAGCAAACAGG